UAUACUAACAUGGUGGAUGACUGAAAGAAGGUAUAACAGAACACAACAGCGGCCUGUAACGACUGUAGAAAUUAUGACAGGAGCAGAAGCGGAGGU